GUUCUGCACGAUUGUUUUUAAUUCCUGAAGAAAUUGGUCAUUAUUCUCCUAAUAGAUAACAGUCUUUCUCUGUCUCUCCCAGGAACUGCCAAGAAAGAAGACUGGCCCAACAGAAAACUUGAUGCUCUGUAUCUUCCCCUUCAAAAGCUCCUGUUAAGUACAGGAUAUGGCUCAAGUGCCUAAGAACCGUUGACUCCUUGUGUGCUUAGUGACUUGAUAACUGCAGUGUCUCACCGAGGCUGCCAGAGCAACCCUGCACCCAAACAAAGAGCCAUCAUUUGAAUGUGAACUAGCUCAGUGGGCUGAGGAAAUUGUGUGAGAGCUGAUCAUGUUACCCAGGAAGAUACACGUGAUAAUCCAGCGGAAGAUUUCGAACGCACAAUAAAUAUUCACAACAGGAUUCAUUGUUACACGUCUGACGUCCUGGUCUUUUAUGAUGUCAUUGAUUAUGAUGUCCUCCUUUCGUGUGGAGCAGAUUUACAGAGAGCUGCAAGCUUUGGGUUUGAUCACAUAGGAUUUUGCCUGCUAGAGACUAAAGAUGAGUCCUGAGAAGCCCAAGAAGAAGGGGCCUCUGUAAAGCCCCACAGAGCCUAGACCUUGGGUGGCUGACUGCCAUUUCACUUCAUUAUCAUCAUCUACAGAUUCUUUCACUCUGUUUUGGUGAAAAUAUCUGUGCCACUUCCAUCAUGGUAAAGGUGGCUUCCUACUACCUGAACCUCCUCACAGUUGCCUUCUUUAACCUGGCUCAAGAUCUGUGUAUGGAGGUGCUGAUGCCCAUAUACUGGGCCCUGUGGUGGAGAAUGCUGAUGGUAGGGAACUGUGUCCUGGUCUUUUUUCUCACCGUGUUCCAUCAGAUCCAAAAUGCAUCCUUUAGCUAAUGAGAUACGUGAGAUACCACCCAGGCAACGCUCUACUCAGAGGGGUCCACUGGACUUAUUAUGUCCUUGUCCUCUUCUACCAGAAGAAUGGUUACAAAGUCAUCUUGAGGGCCAUACAGUACGAACUGCUUUUCAUCUUGUCAGUGGCCUGCCUGGACUGGAUGUGGAUGGUGGGGUCUCAGGCAGUGGAAAGAGGCCUCCAGUUCCUGAAGCAAGAGGAGUUAGAGAAUAUGAACUCCAGUUCUGCCACGGUUAACUCUAAAGUCUACACCUCUUUGUUCCAUGACAAUGAAGUCUCUUUGAGGCAACACAUUCCCCACCCCAACCCUUUCACCCGUCAAAACCUCUCUUCUAGCCUCAGCUUUAUGUCAAAGUACCCAAACAACAAAGAGGGAAUCAAGUAUUGCUGCUUUGGGACUUCUUCAGGACAGAGUACCAGAAUCCAAGGCAAAGACAAAGAGGAGAGUGGGCUGUCUAUCUUAACUGAAGACAUAAUUGAUGAAAUGAAGAGAACCUUUGUCACCUACUUUCUGCUCUACAUGUAUAGCACAUUUCACUUUGUUCAGGUCAUAAAAUAAAUUUACCACAUGAGAAAAAACUAACCAUGUGCAAAUCCGUAAAAUUUAAAAAAAACAAUCAAAG
ensembl:lncRNA